AACGAACGCUGGCGGCAUGCCUAACACAUGCAAGUCGAACGAGUGCCUUCGGGUGCUAGUGGCGCACGGGUGCGUAACGCGUGGGAAUCUGCCCUUUGGUUCGGAAUAACAGUUGGAAACGACUGCUAAUACCGGAUGAUGACGAAAGUCCAAAGAUUUAUCGCCAGAGGAUGAGCCCGCGUAGGAUUAGCUAGUUGGUGUGGUAAAGGCGCACCAAGGCGACGAUCCUUAGCUGGUCUGAGAGGAUGAUCAGCCACACUGGGACUGAGACACGGCCCAGACUCCUACGGGAGGCAGCAGUGGGGAACAUUGGACAAUGGGCGAAAGCCUGAUCCAGCAAUGCCGCGUGAGUGAUGAAGGCCUUAGGGUUGUAAAGCUCUUUUACCCGGGAUGAUAAUGACAGUACCGGGAGAAUAAGCUCCGGCUAACUCCGUGCCAGCAGCCGCGGUAAUACGGAGGGAGCUAGCGUUGUUCGGAAUUACUGGGCGUAAAGCGCACGUAGGCGGCUUUGUAAGUUAGAGGUGAAAGCCUGGAGCUCAACUCCAGAACUGCCUUUAAGACUGCAUCGCUUGAAUCCAGGAGAGGUGAGUGGAAUUCCGAGUGUAGAGGUGAAAUUCGUAGAUAUUCGGAAGAACACCAGUGGCGAAGGCAGCUCACUGGACUGGUAUUGACGCUGAGGUGCGAAAGCGUGGGGAGCAAACAGG
rnacentral:rRNA from 1 species